AGAGUUUGAUCCUGGCUCAGGACGAACGCUGGCGGCGUGCCUAAUACAUGCAAGUCGUGCGGACCUUUUAAAAGCUUGCUUUUAAAAGGUUAGCGGCGGACGGGUGAGUAACACGUGGGCAACCUGCCUGUAAGACCGGGAUAACGCCGGGAAACCGGGGCUAAUACCGGAUAGUUUUUUCCUCCGCAUGGAGGAAAAAGGAAAGGCGGCUUCGGCUGCCACUUACAGAUGGGCCCGCGGCGCAUUAGCUAGUUGGCGGGGUAACGGCCCACCAAGGCAACGAUGCGUAGCCGACCUGAGAGGGUGAUCGGCCACAUUGGGACUGAGACACGGCCCAAACUCCUACGGGAGGCAGCAGUAGGGAAUCUCCCGCAAUGGACGAAAGUCUGACGGAGCAACGCCGCGUGAGUGAAGAAGGCCUUCGGGUCGUAAAACUCUGUUGCCGGGGAAGAACAAGUGCCGUUCGAACAGGGCGGCGCCUUGACGGUACCCGGCCAGAAAG
rnacentral:rRNA from 1 species